rnacentral:lncRNA from 1 species
UAGACCAAAGCAUGGUUCAAUUUCUUGUCUUCCACAGUAGGUGAACCGAUUCAAACAUGUCUGGUUUUAUGAUCAACUCAAUAUAAUACAUGGUCUUAUACCCUGGAGAGUUGUGGGUCUGUUACAGGAACUGGAGAAGAUAUUGCAACAGAUGUAAUACAUGGUCUUAUAACAUUCAACAAAAAAAAAAGGAGUAUAUCAUUGUCAUACAUGACAGAAUG